ACACCCUCUAUUGAUCAACACGAAAGAAAGUGAGCUAAUUAAAGUAAUAGUGUUAGAUAGCUAUAUGAUGUGUGGCACUACACCAUAAAUAUUUUUAGUUAGGGGUGACAGGCCUGUCAAAUUUUCAGAUAUCUUGAUGUGAAAGAAACUUAUUUAGUACAAGACAACCUGAUAGUGAUUAGAUUAUCAGCUUUGUAUAAGGCUCAGCGGGUUAGUUGAUAUAGUGCUUAAUGGUAAAUAUUUUAAAUAUACUAUUAUUUGUUUUGAGGUGUUUAUAGGUAUUACUUCACAUAGUGUCAAAACUGCACGUUACUAGUAAGCUGUUAGUAUUAGUAUAGUUUUAAAUUCUUGGAAGGAACUCGGCAAAUAGUUUGCUCAACUGUUUAACAAAAACAUAACCAUGUGGGUUUCAUACUUGGCGUUUUCUGCUCCAUGAGUGUUUAAAUAGCCGCAGUACCCUGACUGUGCAAAGGUAGCAUAAUCAGUUGGCUUAUAAUUGAAGUCUGGCAUGAAUGAAUGAAUGGGUAGGCACUGUCUCCGACGAAAUAAUAAAAGUUAUUUAACAAGUGAAAAUACUUGUGGGUAGAUAAAAGACGAGAAGACCCUAGAAAUUUUUUAGAGUUGUGUGGAAAUGCACAUUUUAUUUUGCUGGGGCGGCAAAGUAACAUAUUGUAACUUGCUUUAAGAACUAGAAGUUUGUUUAUAGUAAGGCUAUAAUUACUCUAGGGAUAACAGCAUAAUUUUAAAGAGCUUGUGACCUCGAUGUUGGACUAGGGCCUGCAAGAUUCAGAAGAUCUUGUUGCGCGUUCUGUUCGAACGAGUAC
rnacentral:rRNA from 1 species